UACAGAGGUCCCGAGCGUUGUUCGGAUUCACUGGGCGUAAAGCGUGUGUAGGCGGGUUGCUAAGUACCUUGUGAAAUCCCACGGCUCAACCGUGGAACUGCUUGGUAUACUGGGUAUCUUGAGCCACUUAGGGGCAACCGGAACAAACGGUGGAGCGGUGAAAUGCGUAGAUAUCGUUUGGAACGCCAAUGGUGAAAACAGGUUGCUGGGAGUGUGCUGACGCUGAGACACGAAAGCCAGGGGAGCAAACGGG
rnacentral:rRNA from 1 species